AUCCUCAGAAUGAGCUGGCAGGAGGAAAAAGCAUCCAUGAGAACAGUGAUUCAAGGGUGCCAUGAGGUAGCAAGGAAAGCUGGAGAUACUGAAAGGGUGGAAUUAGAAGCAGACCACAUAGAGCUAGAAAGGAUGAGAUGAUAGAGAUCCGGAAAUGUCUGACUUUGCACAGCAUGACACAGAAAUGAACGAACACACACUUACUAUGGGUCUUCUAAGUCAGAUAAACCUUAUGAAAGAAUCAUAUAUUUUUUAAUAUGAACCAAUCAGUCUAAGAUUUGGGGACUAUAUCUGCAUCUAGGGUUAAGACACAUUGACACAUUGUCGCUAAAGAUAAAGAUAUGUCACUUCUUCCAGCUGUUUUUUUUUUCCUUUUUUCAGGGUAAUGUGGUGGUGUGUGGGGUCUCCAGCUACUGAAUGUAUCUGUAAACAUCAGAGGGAAAGCUUCUUGGAGACUAGCCCUUAAGUAGUGGAAUUACACAGUGUAACUUUGCUCUUUCUUUAUAAGAUUUGCCUACGUUAUUUAAGUAAUUAUGACUGAUAAAUGGACCAUCCCAUUCAUUUUUACUAAGAGAAUAAUAUACUUUAUCCUGGAUCAGGGAUGUUCUACACAUAGCCUUCCUCUCAUGAGUGCCUUCAUUUACCUGUUUUGACCCAUUGGUUCUGAAGAACCAGUAUUGGCAGCUCCAUGCAUGAAGAAUGUUCCAAUUUUGUUGCUGCCAAAAAAUGUAUAGGAAAUCAUGUUAGGGAAUGAGAUGACUUCCUGUAUGUGUUGAAUGAGAAGAAACCUUGGAUCUUUUUAAAGAAGACAAUGUACAUGUGCUUACCAAAAGGAAGCAGAGUGGAAUCUUCCCUUAUUUGGGUUCCAAGACCAGCAGCUGGCACAAACCACUAUUAUUCAUGCUUUUGGCUGGCAUCACAGACCCCAGCAGAAAGAACACUCUAUGAGGUCCAAGUUCAGCAAUCCCAGGGAAGAGAGAUCUAG
rnacentral:lncRNA from 1 species